UGCCUCCAUCCCUCCCUCUCUCUCCCUCAGCCAUGGUGUGGUGGAGGGGUGGGGGGCGGGGGGGGAAACAAGGAGUGGUUGUGUGAUUCCCGCUUAGCGCGCGAGACAGAAAGAAACGGCACGAGGGUGGAGGAAGAGGAGGAGGAAGAGGAGGAAGAGGGGGAGGAGGGCGUUACCCCCACAGCACUUCAGCAUGGAUCCAAUGUGGAGGCAAACGGAGCAGCUUCUUCUACUGAGCGUUUGAAAGCGUAAAUGUGUUCCCUGGGGACCUUAGUGGCAGGCGGACAGAUGUUUGGAGGACAGGAAGCGACGUCGGCGGGUGCUGUCCUACCUCCUUAAGGGGAACAAAGAGGACAAGACCAUGGCCUCUUGGCUCCAUGCACUCUCGACCACGGGUAUUCUUGGGUUGAUAAUACAGAUGUGGAUGUUAUUGCUUGAGAAUACGCGUAGUCGAGUGGCGGCUUUGUCAUCUUCGCUGGACCUGAAACGGGCAUUGGUCACAAGGUGGGGAGGGGUGGUGCAGCUAAUAGAGGUGGCUUUUAAUGGGUUUAUCAAGCAUGCCCCUCUUAACACCUGUGGAGGAAAUGAGUUUGCAUGGAUCUCCUGCAAGAGGCGACCUCCUGCACUAAGAUCAGCCCAAACCCAACCCCCCCAGGCCCCCUCCCCCUCCAGGCUCCUUCAAGGCAUUAGUUCAGGGAGAUUAACACUGAAGUCACAUGUUAAUUACAAACCUACUCUUGUCGGUCAGCCGUGCCCCCAAGAGAGAGACUAUAAUCUUAUCACCGGUGAGAGGAUUUCAUGAGCCUUUUUUACCACCAUUUCGUAGGAUUUUGUACAAAAAGCAUUGCGUUGCAUUUAGUAGAAAAAUGAUUGAAAUCAUGGCAAUUUACAAAAUGCAUUCAAUUUUAUAUUUUGUUUAUCUAUGCAUUUUUAUAUAAUGUAAUAUGUUAAAUAUUUAAGUAAAUCAACAUUGUACUAUAUACACAAAUAAAUACAAAAUCAUUUACCUUCUUGGCAGAAUGUAAUGAUUUCAGUGCAUGUCGGCCAUCUUUGUAGAAACUGUUAAGUUUUGUACAUGCUGCAAAAUAGUCCCUUUCAAACGCAAUGCAGCGGAAUUUGAAAUUAAAGUCAGCAUAAGAAUAACUAAAUUAUUUCCUUUAGUAUAAAGCAUGAUAAUGACCAUAAAAAAGGAACUGAAGAAAGCAAUACAGUGCAAGAUGGCUAAUGUGACAAUCAUAAUAAAAGAAGAAAAAUUUACACUAUUUGUUUUUAGUUGUUUAUUUUGCUCUACUGUGCAGUUUAUUUUUAUACUUGCAUGGCAGUUUAUAAUGUUAAAUGUUAUAUAAAAUACUGCCUGCAUAGAACAGCUUGAACCUAGAAUGGAUUUUUUUUUUUUUUUUUUUUACCACAGAAGGGUACCAGGAAAAGUAUGAUGAUAACCAAACAGAAACUGGCACAUAUUGGGACAUAAGAAAGCAACACAGUACAACAUGGCUAAUGCAACAAUAAAAUCAUAAUAAAAGACAAAAAAUUAAGUACACACUGCGGUCAGCUUGAUUUUUUCUUUAUGUGACUCGCCUCACAAGCACUACCCUCUACGCCCUACUGUGCUUGUUUUU